rnacentral:pre_miRNA from 1 species
AAAGUACUCCCUCCGUCCCAAAAUUCUUGUCUUNGAUUUGUCUAGAUACGGAUGUAUCAAGUCACAUUUUAGUAUUAGAUACAUCCGUAUCUAGACAAAUCUAAGACAAGAAAUUUGGGACAGAGGGAGUAGUUG